rnacentral:rRNA from 1 species
UUGACAUCCCCAUGACCGGCCAGUAAAGGGGCCUUUUCUUCGGAGCAAGGGAAACCGGGGGUGCCGGGUUGUUGUCAACUCGGGUUCUGAGAUGUUGGGUUAAGUCCCGCAAAGAGGGCAACCCUUAUCCUCAGUAGCCAGCCGUUCGGCUGGGCACUCUAGGGAGACUGCCAGGGAUAACCUGGAGGAAGGUGGGGAUGACGUCAAAUCAUCAUGCCCCUUAUGACUUGGGCUACACACGUGCUACAAUGGCGUAAACAAAGGGAAGCGAAGCCGUGAGGCCAAGCAAAUCUCAAAAAUAACGUCCUCAGUUCGGAUUGUAGUCUGCAACCUCGCCUACGAUGAAAG